CACGGGGGGAGCAAGCGUUGUUCGGAAUCACUGGGCGUAAAGGGCGUGCAGGCGGUCAGGUAAGUGAGAUGUGAAAUGCCCCGGCUCACCCGGGGACCGGCAUCUCAUACUGCUUGGCUUGAGUACGGGAGAGGAUGUGGGAAUUCCUGGUGUAGCGGUGAAAUGCGUAGAUAUCAGGAGGAACACCGGUGGCGAAGGCGCACAUCUGGCCCGAUACCGACGCUGAGGCGCGAAAGCUAGGGGAGCAAACGGG
rnacentral:rRNA from 1 species